rnacentral:rRNA from 1 species
UACGGAGGGUGCGAGCGUUAAUCGGAAUUACUGGGCGUAAAGUGCGCGUAGGCGGUGGGUUACGUCUGCCGUGAAAUCCCCGGGCUCAACCUGGGAAUGGCGGUGGAAACGGGCUGACUGGAGUAUGGGAGAGGGUGAUGGAAUUCCAGGUGUAGCGGUGAAAUGCGUAGAUAUCGGGAGGAACACCAGUGGCGAAGGCAGCUCCCUGGCCUGUCUCUGACGCUCAGGUACGAAAGCGUGGGGAGCAAACAGG